CGCAGAAGGCUGGUCUUGAACUCCUGGACUCAAGCAAUCCCCCAUCUACCUGCCUCAGCCUCCCAAAGUGCUGGGAUUAUGCCACUGUGUCUGGGAAUUUUACAUGUUUUAAAUUAAAGCAAAUCUUGGUUUUUGAUGAAGUGCUGAUUUACUUAUAUUUCGCUUAGUCUUUCUUUCAGAAAAGUUGUGUGGAAAUAAAAUGGUUUUAGUAUAUUGCUUUAUAAACAAAUUCAAAGUCAUGAGCUCUUUUUAUUAUCCUCUUUGCUUUGCUCAUUUCCAUGAACUGUACAUCUCUAACCUAAAUCAGCUGUGGAUAGGGUAAGAAAGUGUUAGAUUCUUACUCAGUUUAGAUCUUCUGCCAGGAAAACCAACUGUGUCCAUUGUCAUCUAAAUUAACGCUUUUUUAAAUAAAAGGAGUCACUUUUAACAGUAAUGUCAGGGCAACAGGCAUACAUUAGAUGUAUGGUCAUUCUUAUCAUUAGGGUUAUCAUUCUAAUGUGUUGUUUAUUAUUUUGAAACUCUAGGGAGAGAAAAACUCAUUUUUUCUUAUGUUAGAAAAAUGUACCCUCGUGUAGAAUAUCAAGGUAAUAUCUUUAAUGUUUCUUAUUUACCAAGAUAAAUUUGUAAUGCAUAUUUUCUUUUUAAAUUAGCUUAUUUAGGAGAAAUUGCACUUGACGAAUCACUUACUCUCUUUUUAAUUAGUAACAUUAACUUGAUCAUUUUUGUUUCAAGAUGUCACAGCUGUUGUUCAGCACUAGAAAUUAUAUAAAUUAUUAGCUGAAGAUGAUGACUGGCAACAUUUAUAUCUGUUCCUUCUGUUAAUUUCUCGUUCAGAAAGUCUGUUGUUGUAAACAUCCCCGACUGGAAGCUGUAAGAUACAACUAAGCUUUCAGUCAGAUGUUUGCUGCUACCGGCUAUUCACAGACAUCUUCUUGAUAUAAUUCUAUCCCGGAGUGGAGUUGAAGAGGCUAUAAAACGUGGAAAAACCUCAGAAAUCUUUAGCUGUCUUCUUUUACUGCACUGACAGUGCAUGUAUUAUGAUAGUUGAAUGUAGGGUGCUCUCCUAAUAACAGGAUACACCAUCUCAGCUUCAAAGUUAGCGUGCUGCUGCUGGGCCUUAGAGAAUUUAGUAGUUAAGUAAAAAUUGUCCCCACUUAUUCCUGUUUCUUCCCUGUCAAUGAAACUUUAUUCUUUAUAACCUUUCCAAGUAGGCUGGAGUUUAACUUCCCAACAGUUCAAGAGACUGAUUUUCUCCAUUAUGAAUUCUGUAGAAGUUCUGGAGAAUAAUUUAAUCACUGCCACCCAGCAGUAUGCAAUCUAGAAAUUUCACCUUUCCCUGUACUUAAGAAAUGUGUGUGCAACAUUUUUCUUGCUCCUCUUAGCCCCCUACUUCCUGUUCUUCUCACCCUGAGUGAUGUCACAGCUCCUAAUCAGAACUCCCCUCUAAGAAAAACUGCAAGACGUCAACCACUAAGCCUGUUUACAUUUGCUAAUGGUUAUGCUUGUCUUUUUAGAUUAAUAUAUUUUCCUAAGUGUUUUCAGAUUGUUGCUUUCAGAUUGAUUGCUUCCUCCUUAAAAUAUAGCUGCCCUGUAAUCAGCUGCGUUGUAUCUCCUUUUUGUGUUUCCCCACAGAUCUAAAUACUCCAGGGCUUUUCUCAUAGAUGGCAUUCAGUGUGGACUAAUUGAUCAUGUAUAAUUUUAUGACAGCUGUUUUCUUAGCUUUAAACAUUUGUUUUUCUGUCUUUUAGAUGCUGGAAAACGUUUCUAUUUUAUUGGCAUUUUUCUUAUUGGCAUUUUUCUUUUCAAUAAAGCAUUUUUUAGAAAUCAUUUAUUAUUAGUAAACUGUUAGACAUCAUACUAAGGUUCAGUACAUAAUUAACCCAAAAGAUAAAGGUUUUGCCAAUCUAAUUUUUUACAUGCUUAUUUUCUUUGAUUAGAUUAUAAGCUUCCUGAGGACAGAGACAUUAAAUCUUGGUAAUUCUAUUUUUUUCUAUCAUAAACAUCAGGUGAAGCACCUUGCAUGUAUAGUACUUUAGUAAUGAUAUUUGUAUUAUCUUAUUGCAGCAGUGUUCACUGUUUCCUUUUAUCUUUUAUCCAGAUGACCAAAGGACAGUUUUGGUCAUAAUGUAGUUACCCCAGAUGUAUUUGUGCUACAACAUUUGUUUUUUAAAUGCUCCUUUGUUAGAGUGGUAGUUUACAAGACUUAUUUGGGGACGGGAGAUAGUUGCUUCAGACUCAAGUAGCUUUCCAACUUGUAAAUAUAAUUUUCAGACUUGAUGAUUAGCAUGCAUCAAGCAUCCCUUCCUCUGAACCCUUAAUAAAGCAGACUUAUUGUAUAUUCUGUGGCCCUCUGUUUUAGCACAUUGGAAACCUUAGACUCAAAUAGCAGUGAAUGGAUGGAGUUAUUACUGAGAGCUCAGAAGUGUUCCCUGCCGAAGGUAGAAUGUAAUGUGUUCUCUAGUAAUAGGAUUAUUUUGUUUGACCAGGUGACACUGUUUAUUUCUUAUGAAAAAUUUUCAUAUAUAGCUUUAAAGUUUAGUAAGAUGGGUAGAAACUGCAUAAUUUAAUAAUUUAUACAGUGAAAUUGGAAAGGUUUUUCAAAAUGGUAAGGCCAAACCUAAGCUAAAAGAGGGGGUAGGGAUUCUUUCUAAUAAAGCUAUUAUAUUCUGCCCAGCUAGGCCAGUUAUCCCUAGAUGCUGCAGGAUUAAUGGGGCAAUCUGUGUUAUGUAACAUUUGUUCUAUAUUAUUCUGCCCUAAUGAGGUGAAUCAAAGACCAUGUCAGCUUUAAUUCUGGAUGCCCUUGCUUCAGUGUAGUAUAAUACGUAAGUACAACCUUUUUUAGUAGUUUUCAGAUGACUUCUUUAUGUUUUUAAGUUGAAAAACCACUAACUUCCCAUUGGCCUAUAAGGUUAGCAAUUGAUUAUUUAUAGCAAAUGCCUUGAAAUGUUAGAUCAAUCAGUAUUUGUCAGUAAACCUGUAAUAACUUAGCCCUUAGUAUUUAGGAAAAAAUUGUGAUAUUCAUUGAUAGGGCUUAGAAAGCUCAGAAAUUAUUUAUUAUUUGAGAUUUGUUGAACCAAUUGGUAAAACAUUUUUAGUUACUGAACACCAUGCUGCAAAUGACAGUAUUUUAUCCUUAGUAUAUGGUCUGAAAUCACUUAGGGACUACUUCUUUUUAAGCAAAUAACUACAGAAUUAAGUCUUCAAAUUUAUUUCAAACUAAAUGCUUUUGUACAAAUACUCUUGGUUAGAAAAUAGUCAUAUAACUACACAGUUGGACAUGCUGUCGUUGAUCUCCACCCCUCAGUUCCUUCUACAUGAGUCAUGGGCUUGAGGUCACCCAGAAGUGGACUGUGAACCUAUAAACCCUAUCUGACUUUGAUCGCUUCUACUCUUGUUAGAGCUUUAUUCAUUGGAUGAAUGUGCAUUAUUUGCUGUGUGUGUGCUCAGAGAAUAUUUUUUGUUUCUUUUUUAAGUUUGGGUAUCAGUUUGGGCUUAGUUACUUUUUAAAAUUAUGCUGUUUCAGAUAGUCUCUGCCACACUCUACAUGGCCUGGUUAAUUGUGGUUGGACUCAUCCUAUUUUGACAUUGCCUUUUGCUUAUCUAUAGCAUAUUACAAACGUUCUAAUAAUUUGACAUUCACUGCUGUCUUUGCUUUGGCUUUUCAACAAAUUUGGUGAAACAGUACAUUGCUUUUCAAUAUCAGCUUGCAUCAGAAUAUCUUGGAGGGCUUAUUGAUUAAAACACAGAUUGCUGGGCCCUGCAAAAAAAAGUUUCUGAUUUAGUAGGUCUGGGGUGGAACUUGAGAAUGUGCUUUUUUUCCCCACAGUUCCCAAGUACUGCUGAUGGUGCUCCUCUAGGCCCAUGCUUUCAGAAUCGCAGAGCUCAUCUUACAUUCUUUUCCUGUUAGAUAUUAUGCUCAAUUAAUACAUUAAGUAAAACAGAGGAAAAUCCUUAACUUAAAAACAUGUUGUAAUCCAGAAGUUGGAUUAUAAAAAAAGUUUGUUGGAAACGUGAGACCAUUUUUUCUCUCACAGAAAAAAUAUAUUGUCUAGCUAGGCGGGGCCUAUUUGAAUGUGUUUUCAGAGAAAAGCAGAAGAAAAAAAUAUGGUUGUAGUAGUAGUUAAAACAGAAAAAGAAAUAUGCUUGUGGGGGGAGAUAGUAUAUGUGUAUUUAAUUUUGAGAACCAAAGCUUCUGGAAAACACCUUGAAGGGGACAAGAGGCCAGGUAGAGACGUUCUAGGUUCCUAAAAGUCCUGGGAUGCCUCUGAAAUGCUAAAGAUUUUUAAAGUUUGCUGGCAGUGGUUAUUAUAUGUAAUUUUACUUACAGAUUUGAAGAUUCCCUCUUCUUUGACGUAAGUGUAUUGGUAGGACCACUGGUAAUAGUUAGUAGGGGUAUUUGUGGUAAUGUAUUUUUAAUCAGAAAGAAUGCAGAAAGAGGGGGAGACAUUUCUUUGAGACACCUUAAUGACACUGGGAACAGUAGAAGGUGGAAAGAGAUCAGAGUGUGGGAAAGAUGUGCCUGAGAUGAAAUUAUCUGAAUUCUGAAUGUGGGGGAGAAGAUGAGGGAGAGGGUUGAGGGGGAGGAGAGAUGACUAAGCUCCUCACAGUGCUUCAUUAACUGUCUUUUACCUAAAGCAGGAAUCUUAAUGAAGAUGGGUGGAUGCAUCAUACUGGUCAUCAAGUAAGUUCUUAUAAAUGCGAGUUUGAUUGUUUUGAAGGGAAGGAUAUAGGAAGGGUGGACAAUUGCUACAUUUAGAUAUGGAAUGCUACAGGAUGUCUGCAUUUAUUGUUGUAAAUUCCUUUGGUGAAAAGAGUAUUACUUCUUUGUGACUAGCGUGGGCAAUAUCAUGAGACCCUCUUUCUAAAAAAAAUUUUUUUAAUAAGAAAAAUUAGCCAUAGUAGCAUGCCUGUAGUGCCCCCCCAACCCCGGACAGCCCCCCUCAACCAAAAAAAAAACACCCAGCUUACUUCUGUCUUUUCCUUGGAUUAUACACUUUCUCUCAGUGUAUCUUUCUGGUUGACUCUUACCUCAUUUAUGUGAAUGCUGUACCUGUUCUUUUUUUCAACAGAGUCUUUGGUAAAGGACCAUAUAAACUUGGUGAAGAGUUUAAGUCCUGCUUUAAACUGAGUUUCAGUUCAUGUAAACAUCCUACACUCAGCUGUAAUACAUGGAUUGGCUGAGAGGUGGAUGUUUACUUCAGCUGACUUGGAAUACCAACCAAUUAACGUUGAUAAAAGAUUUGGCAAUAAUAGUAUACAGAGGCCUGAAUUUUUAAUGUAAUUAAAGGUUUGUUGGAAAUGUGAGACCAUUUUUUCUUCCAGAGAAAAAGUGUAUUAAUAGUCUAGCUGGCAGGGAUCUACUUGAAUAUGUUUUCAGAGAAAAGCAGAAGAAAGUAUGGUUACACUGGGAGUAGUUAAAGCAGAAAAACAGUAUGCUUGUAGACGAAAAACUUAACCUAAAUUUAUUAAAAAUGUAUUAAAAUUGCUUUAAAUUUGUUAAUUUAAAUUUUUAUUGUAUCUUUUCAGUUUUGUUAUUAUACCACCAACAUGACAUAAGGCUCUGGAUAUUGGGACAAAAGGCCCUUCUUUGGUAGUUGGGGUCAGAUUUGUAGGUAUUGCAGUGUGUUUUAACAAGCAUGGGCUUUGACAUCAGACACGUGUUGCCAUCUGGACUCCACAAGUGAAUUUGCUACGGGAUUUGGAGGAGGGACAGGCAGUGUUUCCAUACCUCAGUGGUUUUCUUAUCUGCAAAGUAGGUAUGGUGGUUGCCUGGAUUGACUUAUAAGGUGAAUAUAAAGUAGGGUUCAUUUGUAUAGUACCUGUCAUAUUAAGUACUCAAUAAAUGCUAUUAUUAAUGCUAACUGUGUUUUAGGUGUUCAAUAAAUAGUUGCUGUAAUACUUAAAGCAGACAUAACUUGUGUUUAUUUUAGCAAUAAAAAUGAUGCCAACUUUUUGGUUUAAUGGAAAUGCUUUGAAUCUUUGAUAUUAUUGUAACAUAGUGGCCAAUAAUUAUGAAGCCCAGCUUCUGGAGCUCAUGUGCUGAUUCUGCCAGUUACUUAGUUGUGUUACUUUGGGUGAAAUUAUUAAUCUCUCUGUGUCUCAUUUUCCUCAGUCCACUAAAUUGGAUUUAUAAUGGCACCUGCCUGAUAGGGUUGUCGAGACUAAAGGAGUUAAUUUAAAAAUAAGCUAAUACUUGAUAUAAGUAUUGUUUGGUCUAAAUGUUAUUUCCAUUUUCAUGCCUUUAUUUAAAAUACUGAAAAUUAAUUUUUUAUAGCUUUGUUUUUCAGUUCCAUGAAAUGAGCCUGCCUUUUCAUUUUUUGGUGAUGCAUCCACAUUCUGUAUAGGUAAAAAGCAAAACAAACAAGCAUAAAAGGAAAAUUAUGUAAGAAGUAUACACAUCCCAGCAGCUUGGCAAGUGUCUGUAUGCUUUUGCCUAUGCUUAUAUCCAGAAUUAGAAUUCAUGUUUGGUGCUCCAAUGGAAGAUGUCUAAAUAUUAUGAGAAAUACAUGAAUAAAUAAAAAUGUGAAAUGAAAACAUGGAGAGUUAUUGUUGAAGGAAUUAGACUUCUGAUCUAAUCUGGGCUCCCUCACUUGCCAUCUUCGUGACCUUGAACAAGUUGUUCAUCUUUUCCUGUGUUUAAAAAAAAAAAAAUUGAAGGAAAUGGCUACAUCAUGUUGUUAUGAGGACUAGAUAACUAUGUGGUGGACCCUGCACAUUGCUAGCAACAAAAGGUAAGUACUAUUUCUAUUUAUUUUGCUCCCAAGCUUAUGUGAGCUCCCUCAGUGUCUACCACCAAUUCAUAUGAUGUGUACCCUAGUCAAUCUUAAAAGUCAUCCACCUUGAAUCUUUAAUUAACGUGUGUUUUUAAAACUGCAUUAUAAGAACGUUAGUGUUUUUAUUUGGAUCCUAUGGAAGUUAGACUUUUUCAUGCAAGCAUUCAAACCAUUCACUUCCAACAGAGCAGAUAAAUGGUCUGUAUUAUUUCAUUACGUAUGAAAAAAAAGAUUAAGCAUGUCUCAGGCAGCUCAGACAAGGCAGAUAAAAGAUUAUCAAGGAAUAACAUUAGAAACACUAAUCAAAGUGCCUAAAAAGCUUUGUGUGAUCCAGGUAUUACGGGGCUGUUGCAACAGUAAAACAAAACUUUACAAGAUAUGAAGGGCUAGAGAUAGGUAGCACAGAGCAGAUUAUGUCAGAGAAGUCUCUUCUAAAAUUGUGUUGGAUAGCCUGGGAUUUGAACUUAUGCCUUGUAUGUGUGUCCGUGUGUCACAGGUUGAACAUGCAAGAAGCAGUGUUCAAAAAGGUGGCAAACUUCUUUUACUUGUUUCUCAGUCUUUUCAGAUCAUUGCUUAGAAAACACUGAUAUAUAUGUACAGUAAAUAUCUUAUUUUAAAUAUUAGCUAACCCUAUUAAAUUGUGUGUCCUUGUGCUGCAGUCAUUUAAUGACCCCAUUCUCUUGUAAGUUGGCAUAUGAUUUGAGAUAACUCUAAGCGCUAAUGGAUUGUUUGAAGGAGUUAAAGGCAAAACCAGGAAGACAAAACUAUUUUUAGGAAAAAGUGAUCAUACAACAGACAGGCCUUAAAUAGAGGAAUUGAGAUAUCUCUGUCUUUACUAUGUAACCUUUAGCUAAUCCCUUACGCAUUCUGACCUCAUGUUUCUUGUAUGUAAAUGAGAAUGUUACAGGUUUGUAAAUUCCUUUUCCUCUGUGACUACAUCCAGUUUUAUUUAUAUUAUUGUGUGUUUGUGCAUGUCAGUAGAGCACAGUAUUUAGUAGAAUGCGUUCUUGGUUAAACCACCUGGAUUCAUUUGUAAAAUGGGGCCUCCUAUCUCUUAAAUUGUAAUGAGGAUUUGAUUAGAUAAUCUAGAUAAAUCACUUAGCACAAGAGUCUCCAGCCCCCAGACUACUGACCAGUACUGGUCUGUGGCCUGUUGGGAGCUGGGCUGCACAGCAGGAGGUGAGCAGGGAGCAAGCUAGCAUUAUGGCCCGAGCUCCACCUCCUGUCAGAUCAGUGGCAGCAUCAGAUACUGGGGAGCACGAACCCUGUUGUGAACUGUCCGUGUGAGGGAUCUAGGUUUCACACUUCUUAGGAGAAUCUAAUUAAUGCCUGAUGAGCUGAGGUGGAACAGCUUCUUGCUAAAACCAUCUCAUGAAACCAGUCCCUGCUGCCAAAAUGGCUGGGGACCUCUGACUUACCUAACACAUUACCUGGCAUAUACUAAGCACUCAGAAAAUAUUCCAUUUCUCAAAACUCAGUUCCAGUGUCAAGUUUUAAUAGUAUGUUGAUCUUAGACCUCCAAGGUAAACUUGGUCCUCUCUUUGUGCCAUAAAUGUGCCUUGUACUCUGUAGUGCUAAGUUGCUGUCACUAGUGCUAAAUGUACCACUAAUUUAUCUGCGUGUCUACUUCUCAGAUUGUGAACCUGUUGAGGACAGAGAUGGACAGAGCCCCUUACUCAUAUUUAUAAAUUUUCUGGCAUGAUAAAUAUUUGCUGAAGGAAUAAACUUGUAUUCUUAUUUUUAAGCAGGGUUUUCUCCCCAUCUGAGUAGAAGACAGUCCAGGAGCAAAGGAAGUAGAAGUCUUUGAGCAAGUAGAAGUCUUCUCAAAAAUCUGGCCACAUUCUCAACCCACCCCACCCCUGCUUUUUUAAACAGCUAUUUAAUUGCCAUUGUAAUCCUAAGGAUUGGAUCAAUUUUUCACCUUCCUUCAUACUUUUUUCCUUUUAGUAAGAAAAUAAAGUAAUGAAGGGCCAAAUGGAGAAAACUGUCCAUUAAAUAUGAAUUAAUAAGUGCUAUGAUCAGAAAUUGUGUAAAAGCAACAUAAUGGGACUAUUAAACAGUAUUAUCUUUGAAUCAGACACCUUGGAUUUAUUUUAUAGACCUGCUACUUUCUAGUCAUACAACAGUGAUCAAGCUAUAUUACUUCUUUGGCUCAACAAAAUAGGGAUAAUCUCUAUUUCAUGGCUUGUUAUGAUUGAUGUGAAAUAUUCACACAAACUACCACGGUGCCUGGUAAGUAAAAGACACUCAGAUAUUUCUUGGAGUUACAGUUAAUACUGUAUCCUUUAAAUCUGAGAAAAACCAACUUUUAAAAAUCACAUGUAUACAGUUGUUUACUGCUAGAAAUGGUAUUUAAUUAGUUGAUAACCCUGGUUAGAUAAUGAAAAACAAUAGUUUUAUCUCCGUUAUCCUAACGGAUUGGGGAACAGGUGGCUUCCUUCUCUUAUGCUCCUGCCGCCAAAUUACCCGCUAACAGCUAUGUUAUAAUGAAAACAGUUUCACACCAACUUCUUAAUAUACAUGUAUCUAUAUUAACUGAGUAAGAAAACUGAUCUUACAGCAUGUUCUGCAGGCUAAAGGAAAUUGCUCUCAGCCCACUGAAGUGCUGUAACCACCGCCUUGCCUGAAAGAUUAAGAAGUAGGAUUCUAUUACCUUAACAAAAGGUGUGUUCAUGACUGGACAAAAACCUUUUAUGGGGUUAGACUAGGACAUUAUCCCAAAAUAUAAGGGCUAUAGGUCAUGCUGGAUCCUUAAGGCCUCUUCUUGCAAUGGUGGGAUGUGUUACUCUGCUAUUAGUCAAUCUGAAAACCUUUAAUUUCACCAUUGGAGGCCCAUUUAAACAGCAGACCACUAAUUUCUCUAACAACUUCUACCAUUUAGUAUGAAAAUUAAAACAUUGUGUAUUGAUCAAGAUGCAGUAAACAGUACCUAGAAUAGCUUCCACUAGAGUAUGCGUUCUCUGAUUAGAACACUAGUUCAUCCUCCUGGACUGUUCUAUCAGAAUGGUAGCAAGACUUAAGCAAUGACUUUACAUAAGUUACGUGUACCUCACUGUAUAUACUGGACUAUUUCCAUGUAAAUUACAGACAACAGUUAUAUACUAGAAGCAAUAAAUAGCUAAGAAAUGUCCAUAGUUGACCAAAGACAUAUCAGGAAUAAUAUUUGUUUUUGGAAACAGAACCAAUGUUGCAGUGGCUUAAACUGUUGCACUUUUGCUUUUCUUUCAGAUGUAGGCUGUCCAGGUGUCCAGUACUGUGACUCCACAACAUCAGUGGAGUCUGUUCUUUAUGAUCCACUCUCUACCAUGUAGAAUGUGUCUUCAAGAUCAAAAAAUGGUGGCUAUAGUGCUCACAUUCCAGAUAAGGAAGAAUGGGCAAGAAACAAAAGAUCCACUACGAAUGUGAUGGCAAAAUUAAGACUUGUGAGUGAAAAGUGGAAAUUUGUCUUCGGUACAUACACACUGAAAGAAAUGUUGAAGAGAGUUCUUCAAGAGGCACAAGCAGGUGAUUCCAAGUUAAAUCCUAGAAUGCAGGAAUAAAUGAAGAGCAAUGGAAAUGGUAAAUAUGUGGCUAAAUUUGAAGGAAUAUUGGAUGUAUUAAAUUCUGAGGUUUAAAAUACCUGUGGAAUUAAAAUGCACCUACAAUAACAAGAGGCAGGAGAAGUUUGUACUAGAGUUUGUCCUCAGUUUCUGGCAUUAGGUAGGUAAAAUGGUAAAAUUACUUUUUUUUAGACUAUGAAGACAAGCGUGCAUGUUGUAAUCUGUUAAGCACUAAAAGGCUAAUAGAAUGUAUACCUAACAAUUUAAUGGAGGCAAAAAGUAUUUAAAAGAAGGCAAGAACAAAAAAGGGAACAUAAAACAGAUGGGUCAAAUUUAAAGUUGCAAAAUAUAAACACAAACACUUUAGAUGAGUUAUUACUUGAAUUAAGAUUGAAAAUUUAUCAGGCUAAAAAUUCCCUACUACAUACUGCUUACAAGAAGCGUAUUUAAAUAUAAGGCCAUACAAAAAUGUUGAAUGUAAAUGCGUGGGGGGAAAUAUACAGUAAGCAAACCAAAUAAAAACAGUUUGUGGUAUUAUCAUGCAAUGAGAUUUAAGGCAAAAAUCAUUCUUUUAUAAUGUUGAAGGAAUUAAUUCACCAAAACACAUAAAGAUCCUAAAUCUGUAUGUGUUGAAAACAUUUCAAAUACGUAAAGAAAGAAUGACAAAUAAGAUGAGAAAUAGGUAAGUCUCUAACCAUAGUUGAAGGCUUACACAGCUUUUUCAAUAGCUGAUAGAAUAUCCAGACCCUCCCCCCAAAAAAAUCAGAUGUAAAAUAAUCGACAUUUACAUAUAUUGAAUACUUGAUUUAAAAAACAUAAUUCACAUUUUCUUCAAGUAAAUAAUUUAUGCAAAUUUACUCUAUGCUGAAUCGUAAAGCAAACCAAUCUCAAAAGUUCAAAAGCAUUUAUCUUACAUUCUCUAACACAGUGAGAUUAAACUAGAAAAAAACAGAGAUGAUUAGAGGAACCCCCAACUACUUUGAAAUUAUGUCACAGAUUUCUUGAUAGUCCCUGGGUCAAUGAAUAAAACAAAUUUCAAAAUAAUUUCGAGUGUAUAAUACGACAUACCAAAACAUGUGAGUUGCAGCUAAGCAGUGCAUGAAGGAAAAUGUAUAGACUUACUUGCAUACAUUAGAAAAGAAGCAAGGCUGAAAAUCAAUGACCUAAACUAUUUUCAAGAAGUUAGAAAAAGAAAAGCAAGGAAAUAAUAAAAGACUAAAUGAAAUAACACAUAAUAGAGAAAGUCAAAAUAUUGUUUCUUUGAAGUCUAAAAACAGUAAUAAUAUCUACCAUUUAACACAUUUGAGAUAUUAGCCAAUAAAAUAAGACCUGAAGUAAAAAGAUGCAAUGUUUAGAAAGAAGAAAGUAAUAGCAUUUAUAGACAACUGGUUAUGUGCAUAGAAAUUUCAAAAGACUCAACAAACAAAAUAAUGAACUUAUCAAGGUCACUGAAUACAAACUAUACAGAAAUUGUAUUUCUAUAUAUCAGAAACAAAUAGAAAUUGAUAAAAAUUAUACCAUUCACACUAGCAUAAAAUAAAUACAAUUUUUUUAAUCAUUUAAGAAAUUUUAAAAAUUCUAAAUAUGUGGCUAUACCAUGUUCAUGACUUGGCAGUUUUGUAAAUUAAUCUGUAACUUCAAUAUAUGAUAUUAUCAAAAUCCCAACAGUAUGCUGGAGAAAUUGACAAACUGAAGAAAUGCAAAGGACAGAGAAUACCCAAGGUAAACUUGAACCACAAAACUGAAAAAGUUCACCAACAGACAUAAGACCUGUGAUUAUAAAAGUAUAGUUGUAAUUAACACUGAUGUUGCCUGGCAUAAGAUAGGCAAAUAGAUUAAAGUAACAGAAUAGAUAGAAUUCUGUAUAUAUGGUGAUCCACACAUUUAGGUCAUCUGUGAUUUAUGAGAAAGGGAAACUAUUGCAGUGGUACAGUCAAUUAGAUAGCUGUGUUGGGGGACAAACUAGACCCCUUCCUUGACACCAUAUAUACAGAAAAAUCAGUUCCAUGUGGAAUAUGGUUUAAAUGAGAAAGGACGUAAUAAAACAGAUAUCUUCAUACUUUGGGGUAGGCAACUGUUUAAAGGACAUAAAGCAUAAAGGAACAUUUUAAAGUAAUUUGUGGUGAUAGAAUCAGGGUAGAGGUUAUCAUUUGCCUGGCAAAAUUGAUCAAUAAGAGAAAAACAACUUAGCCAAACACAGUGGCUCAUGCCUGUAAUCCUAACACUGGGACGCUGAGGCAUGAGGAUAACUUAAGGCCAGGAGUUCAAGACUAGCCUGGACAACAUAGCGAGACCUUGUCUCCACAAAAAUUUUAAAAAUUAACUGGGUGUAGUGGCAUGCACUUGUCAUCCCAGUUACUUGGCAGGCUGGGGCAGGAGGAAUUUGAGCCCAGGAGUUCGAGGCUGCAGUGAGCUAUAAUUGUGUCAGCGCACUCCAGCCUGGGCAACAGAGCGAGACCCUGCCUGUCUAAAUGUUUUUUUAUAAAAGACAACUUGGUAUCAGGAAAUAAAUAAGACAUGAAAGCAUAUGAAAUUAUUUGAUUUAGAAUGUUGUUAAUUUAUGUGGAUAAAUCUGAAAUUUUAGAUAUUUUUUGAUGUGUGUUGCCAAAUAUAUAUUAAUAAGUAAGUCUGAAUCUAUUUUUUAAAAUCAACUCUGAAUAAUCCACAAGCUCUGGAUGGUUUGUUAAACACAUUCAUUGUGACCAAGUAAGGAUUAUUUCCAUAUGGGAGAAUGAUUUAACAUUGGAAAAUCUUUUCAGAUAGUAUAUCCUAUGUUAAUAGAGUAAAGAGAAAAGGCAUAUUACUAUCGCAGUGAAUGCAGGGGGUUGGAGGGGAGAACCAGCAAAAUGUAAGUUAUAUUCACUUAAGAUUUUAAAAAUAAAACAGCCUCUUAAUAGAUGCAAAAACAUUAUUAGUACAACAAAUGAUAGUGUACCAAAACUCAUGGUUAAUGUUAUAAGUUAAUGGUACAGCUUUAGAGAUGUUCCUUCAUGGCAGCAAUAGUGCAGGAAUGGGCUGUCGUAUUAAUACGUCCGCUCUGUGUUGCACUGGAAGAAGAAAUAAUAGGCAUAAGGAUUGGAAAGGGAAAAACAGUUAUUGUCAGUGGGCAAGAUCAUUGUUUGUUUGAAAGUCCAAGGAACACUACAAAGUAGUAUAUAUAACUAAUGUGAAAGUGGAGAGGCUUUGGAUAUAAGACCAAUCUGCAAGAAUUAGUAGUGUUAUUUUCCACUUCAAAUAGUAUGUUUCAAAGUGUAUUAUUUGAAAGAAUUUCAUUCACAAUUAAAACUCUAGGGGACCUAAUAAUACAUCCAAUAAAAAUAUGCAAGCAUUUUGUAAAAGUAGACUGAAAUGAGUGGAGCAAUAUUAUAUGUUUGUGGAUGGGAAAAAUCAGUACAUUAAAGCAUCAAUUCUCUCCAAAUCUAUAAAUUCACUGAAGUUCCAAUCAAAUUCUCAACAAAACUGUUUAUGGAAUUUAAUCAACCUAACCUAAAUGUGGAAAGAAAAAGCUGACAUUUUUUUUAAAAAGGGAAAAUAAGGUUAGGGGAGUUCCUAUCAUAAAGGAAAGUAGGGAAUAUAAAACUAUAGUGAUAACACAGCCCUUGUGAUGCAAGGAUAGACAUGUAAAUCUACGGUACAGAAACAGAUACAUGAGAACUUGAUAUGUGACAGAGUGGAGAAAUGAGUAACUUUUCAAUAAAUGGCACUGGGACAAUUGCAUGUCCAUAUGUGAAAAAAAUUAUUUACCCUUCUCACACCGUAUUUUUAAAAACUGGUAGAUUAAAGACCUAAAAGUGGGUGGGGGAAGUACCAUUUUAAAUAUUUUAGAAGGAAAUACAGGAAAAUUUGAACCAACGUAAGGAAGGAGUUGUUGGUUUGACUCAAAAAAGUGGGAAGCAUGAAGAAAACGAUUCACACAUCUGACCGUAUUAACACUAGAAAUUUAAGUGUGACAAAAAACUAAAUAUUAGAAGGCCAGCCACAGACUUGCAAGGUACGCACUUUACAAUUAUCUACCAGUAACUAACAAAGGAAGUGUCCAAAUUACAUAAAGGACUUCUUAAGGGGGUGGCAAUAAAUGAGCAAUAUAUGAGAGAGAACCAAAAGGUCAAUUAACAGGAAAAUGUUUUAGCUCACUAGUAGUCAAGGAAAUGCCAGUCAGCACAGCCAGAUAACAUUUCACAUCCAGUCAGAUAAUAGCAACGAUUGGCAAACACGUUGACAAAACAAUUCAUACUUUAGUAAAGUUGAAAUUAUACAUUGCUUAUAACAGCAGUUCAACAUCUGUGUUUUUACAAAAAUAAAGUUUGCAUCAUAUUUAGGUAUAGAAAUUGUCAGAACCCUUAAAGCUUAUUGUAGCCAUUUGUUGGAGGGAGACAGAAGACUGAAUUGCUUUUUUCAAAAACUAGAAAUCACAUUGAUGUAAAACAGAGCCUUAGCUUUAGAGACGGGGGAAAA